rnacentral:rRNA from 1 species
AAAGACGCCGGGAGAGGGCGGGCGGUCUCCGGAUCGUAAACCUCUGUCAGGAGGGAACAAACCCUUGGGUUCAAAUAGGGCCCUUGGCUGACGGUACCUCAAAAGGAAGCACCGGCUAACUCCGUGCCAGCAGCCGCGGUAAUACGGAGGGUGCAAGCGUUAAUCGGAAUCACUGGGCGUAAAGCGCUCGUAGGCUGUUUGGUCAGUCAGAUGUGAAAGCCCUCGGCUUAACCGGGGAACUGCAUUUGAUACUGCCAGACUUGAGUGUCGGAGAGGGUGGCGGAAUUCCGGGUGUAGGAGUGAAAUCCGUACAUAUCCGGAGGAACACCAGUGGCGAAGGCGGCCACCUGGACGACAACUGACGCUGAGGAGCGAAAGCGUGGGGAGCAAACAGGAUUAUAUACCCUGGUAGUCCACGCGGUAAACGAUGGAUGCUGGGUGUCGGGGGUUUACCUUCGGUGCCGCAGUUAACGCGUUAAGCAUCCCGCCUGGGGAGUACGGUCGCAAGCUGAAACUCAAA